rnacentral:rRNA from 1 species
GCGCGAAAACUUUACAAUGCACGAAAGUGUGAUAAGGGGAUUCCGAGUGCUCAUACAAAGUAUGGGCUUUUCUCAAGAGCAAAAAUCUUGGGGAAUAAGUGGUGGGUAAGACUGGUGCCAGCAGCCGCGGUAACCCCAGCGCCACUAGUGGUGAUCGCAUUUAUUGGGUCUAAAGCGUCCGUAGUUGGCUUGAUCAAUCUCUUGUGAAAUCGUGGAGCUCAACUCCACGGCCUGCGGGAGAUAUUGUCGAGCUAGGGACCGGGAGGAGCAAGGGGUAUGCCUGAGGGAGCGGUAAAAUGUGAUAAUCUCAGGUAGACCACCUGUGGCGAAGGCGCCUUGCCAGAACGGAUCCGACAAUGAGGGACGAAGGCCAGGGGAGCGAACCGG